rnacentral:other from 16 species
GAAAUCCUGAGAUGUUCGUCGAGCCUGUAAUUUCAACCGACAGAUAAAGUAAGGGAGUUUGCGUCGGUAUAUGGAUGCCGUGUCUAUUUAUUAGAAUCGCAGAUAUAUUCCGCAAAACACCCACCUGCAGAGAGUGCGGGUAUGAAAUUAACAGGCAGCGGCAUGUUGGGAGUUUU